rnacentral:rRNA from 1 species
AACGAACGUUGGCGGCGUGGAUUAGGCAUGCAAGUCGUGGGCGGUUACGUGGUGUAGCAAUACAUCGCGUGACUGACCGGGCGUAAGGGGUAGUAAUACAUGGGUAACCAACCCGUCCAGAUGGGGAUAACCCGUCGAAAGACGGACUAAUACCCAGCGACGUUGCGAGGGGCAUCUCUUUGCAACCAAAGGUGUGAUUCCGCUGGAGGACGGGCUCAUGUCGUAUUAGCUAGUUGGUAGGGAACGGCCUACCAAGGCGAAGAUGCGUAGGGGACUUAGCGCGUGAUCCCCACACUGGGACUGAGACACUGCCCAGACACCUACGGGUGGCUGCAGUCGAGAAUCUUCGGCAAUGGGCGCAAGCCUGACCGAGCGACGCCGCGUGCGGGAUGAAGGCCU